UUAAACAUAAGAAAGAUAUGAAAAGUACUGCAAGUUCAUUGAUAUAUGAACGACCAGGAAACGAGACGUUAUACUACAUACUGAAAUGAAAACAAAUAACUAAUCCCUACAAAUAAGUACUACAUGAUAAGGUAAAAUUAGAACGACAACUGAAAGUGUAAGGGUACAACACAUAAAUGGUACUUACAAUAUUAAAAGCUAACGACAACAGUAUUGAAAUUUAAAAUCUAGAAUGAACGUUUUGUGCGAGUAUAGUACUGGACAUCAUCCUCAUUCACAAAUCUUUGUUGAAUCAUAACAUCAAUAAUAUGAGGAGUAUUGAAAUGAUUUUGAGGUGCAUAGAAUGUGUAAAUGUUGUAAUAAACGUGGGUGUUCAAUACAUACGGUGGAAGUUGUGUAAUAGGGAUGUAGGUAGGUCUAAAAUAAUUGAUGGUCCUUACGACAAUUAUGAAAUUGUGGUAGUGAAAUUACAAAUGAAAAGAGUGACUAGAAAAUAAAACAUUUCAUUAAACAUAAGAAAGAUAUGAAAAGUACUGCAAGUUCAUUGAUAUAUGAACGACCAGGAAACGAGACGUUAUACUACAUACUGAAAUGAAAACAAAUAACUAAUCCUUACAAAUAAGUACUACAUGAUAAGGUAAAAUUAGAACGACAACUGAAAGUGUAAGGGUACAACACAUAAAUGGUACUUACAAUAUUAAAAGCUAACGACAACAGUAUUGAAAUUUAAAAUCUAG
rnacentral:lncRNA from 1 species